CACCUCCAAGUCCGAGUCCAUGGUUCUCGCCCGGAAAAGGGUGGAGUGCCAUCUCCGGGUUGGGGAGGAGACCCUGCCCCAAGUGGAGGAGUUCAAGUACCUAGGAGUCUUGUUCACGAGUGAGGGAAGAGUGGAUCGUGAGAUCGACAGGCGGAUCGGUGCGGCAUCUUCAGUAAUGCGGACGCUGUAUCGAUCUGUUGUGGUGAAGAAGGAGCUGAGCCGGAAGGCAAAGCUCUCAAUGUACCGGUCGAUCUACGUUCCCAUCCUCACCUAUGGUCAUGAGCUUUGGGUUAUGACCGAAAUGACAAGAUCACGGGUACAGGCGGCCGAAAUUAGUUUCCUCCGCUGGGUGGCGGGGCUCUCCCUUAGAGAUAGGGUGAGAAGCUCUGCCAUCCGGGGGGAGCUCAAAGUAAAGCCACUGCUCCUCCACAUCGAGAGGAGCCAGAUGAGGUGGUUCGGGCAUCUGGUCAGGAUGCCACCCGAACGCCUCCCUCGGGAGGUGUUUAGGGCACGUCCGACCGGUAGGAGGCCACAGGGAAGACCCAGGACACGUUGGGAAGACUAUGUCUCCCGGCUGGCCUGGGAACGCCUCGGGAUCCCCCGGGAAGAGCUGGACGAAGUGGCUGGGGAGAGGAAAGUCUGGGCUUCCCUGCUUAGGCUGCUGCCCCCGCGACCCGACCUCGAAUAAGCGGAAGAAGGUGGAUGGAUGGAGAACAUAAAAACAGGUUCACAGCAGGUGUAUUAUGGGGCGCCAUAGCAGGAUGGAUAUCACUCAGUGUUAAAAGCCAUGGAAUAAAAGUAUGUUUUUAAGAGAUAUUUAAAAACAGGAAGAGAGGAGGCCUGUCUUAACACUCAGAGGGAGGUCGUUCCAGAGCUUGGGAGCAGCAGCGGCGAAAGCUCUGUCACCUCUAAGCUUCAGCCUUGUGUCAGGGACCGUCAGUAGCAGCUGAUUGGCUGAUCUUAGGGAUCGGGUGGGGCAGUAAGGCUGAAGGAGGUCGGAGAGAUAUGUUGGAGUGAGGUUGUUUAGACAUUUAAAAACAAAUAGAAGGAGUUUAAAAUUGAUUCGGUAAUGCACAGGGAGCCAGUGAAGGGACGCUACUAUAGGGGUGAUGUGCUCACGUCUGCGGGUCUGUGUUAGCAGAAGGUCUUAUUUUUGUCCAUGUGAUGUCAGAUGAAACAAAAAUGUAGCUGUUUGGCCACAAUACCCAACAAUAUGUUUGGAGGAGAAAAUGUGAGGCCUUUAAUCACAGGAACACCAUUCCUACCACCAAGCAUGGUGGUGGUAGUAUUAUGCUCUGGGCCUGUUUUGCUGCCAAUGGAACUGGUGCUUUCCAGAGAGUAAAUUGGACAAUGGAAAAGGAGGAUUACCUCCAAAUUCUUCAGGACAACCUAAAAUCCUCAGCUUGGAGGUUGGGUCUUGGGUGCAGUUGGGUGUUCCAACAGGACAAUAACCCCAAACACAUGUCAAAAGUGGUAAAGGAAUGGCUAGAAUUAAGGUUUUAGAAUGGCCUUCCCAAAGUCCUGACUUAUGCUGAAGAAACAAGUCCAUGUCAGGAAACCCAACACAUUUAGCUGAAUUGCACCAAUUUUGUCAAGAGGAGUGGUCAAAAACUUAACCAGAAGCUUGUGGAUGGCUACCAAAAGCGCCUUAUUGCAGUGAAACUUGCCAAGGGACAUGUAACCAAAUAUUAACAUUGCUGUAUGUAUACUUUUGACCCAGCAGAUUUGGUCACAUUUUCAGUAGACCCAUAAUAAAUUCAUAAAAGAACCAAACUUCAUGAAUGUUUUUUGUGACCAACAAGUAUGUGCUCCAAUCACUCUAUCACAAAAAAACAAGAGUUGUAGAAAUGAUUGGAAACUCAACACAGCCAUGACAUUGUGUUCUUUACAAGUGUAUGUAAACUUUUGACCACGACUGUACUAAUGCUCCAUGAGGAAUAUUAACGUCUAUUUGUGGGUAUAUGACCCCUGAACUACCAUCUCUCAUGUACGCGAUUCUUUUAAAUGUUUUAUAUGUGCCAUGUUUCAAUAUACUGUGACAUAUCUUUACAACUGGCUGUGCUCUACAUGUCGUACACAAUAUUCUUCUUGCCAGAUUGCACUCUUUUAUUUUCUUUGAUUCCCCCUUUAAUGUUAUUGUAUACCGUAUUUUUCGGACUAUAAGUCGCAGUUUUUUUCAUAGUUUGGUCGGGCUCCAGUGCGACUUAUAUAUGUUUUUUUCCUUCUUUAUUAUGCAUUUUCGGCAGGUGCGACUUAUACUCCGGUGCGACUUAUACUCCGAAAAAUACGGUAAUCACAUUUGCGAUGCUAACCUCAAUUGUGAAAACCUCAUUUGCUUUUGUCAGAAAGUUUUGUAGCAUUGUGAUAAUUUUGUCAAUCAAGUCUUAAAGGGGUCAUUUAUAAUUGUUUUACUACAUUUAAAACACUUCCUUGUUGUCUACAUAACAUGUAAAGAUGGCGCUUUGGUUAAAAUUUUGCAUUCAUUUUUUUACAGACCAUCUUCAGGCUGUUAUCUAUAUGUGUCUCUGAAAACAAGCCGUUCGUAGCGAUAGUUUUUGCGGUAAACGUCCGUACCAACAAACACGAUAAGUUAGAACUAUACAUUAAUUUUUAAUAGAAAUGGAAACAGCGGAUGUAAAUGAGUACAGAAUUUGACGCAAAGUGACAGGAAAGCGAAGAAGAAUAAACUUCCGAACCGUGGAGAUGAAAGUAUCUCAAGGGUUAGUUUAUUAGCUUUCUCUUUCAAAGCCUUUCUGUCCAUGAAGCUCAAGUAUGUAUUGUUAUUAUGUCUGCCUCUCUAUUUGAAUAUACCAUUGUAAGUAGCGUGCGUAUCUCAUCGAAAUGUAGUCCGGUUAAGUCAAGGAUCGGCAACCCAAAAUGUUGAAAGAGCCAUAUUGGACCAAAAAUACAAAAAACAAAUCUGUCUGGAGCCGCAAAAAAUAAAAAGCCGUAUAUAGGUCUUAUAAUGAAGGCAACACAUGACGUAAGUGUCUAUAUUAGCUCUAAUAGCCUACUAUCAAAAUGACUAUGUGUCGCAGGCUGAAGCAAAUCUUUGUUGACAGAAAUGUUGAAAUGUAAUAUUUAUUCUACACAUUUUUACAACAUUAGAAACCAUUAGUAAAUCACAGGAUACUCAGAAGGUGAGAUAACGCCUGGAAAUUAAUGGCGAAUGGCUUUUAAUGGCCAAAGGUAUAGAUGUGUCGUGUGUGUCCAAGUUAAAGGAAACGGCAGGCUGUCUUCUUUUAAUAGAUCUAUUACAAUCUUUGAUAAGCUAGGUAAUAUUUGCUGUGGUCUGGAACAACAUGGCACACAAACGAACAGAAAUGCAGCCAAUAUUACAUACAGAUAAUGCGUCAUGAGACAUGCAAAACUAAAUGAUAUACAAAGAGGAUAAAAGUAAAGGAAAUUAAAUGAGCUCAAAUAUACCUACAAACGAGGUAUAAUGAUGCAAUAUGUACAUACAGCUAGCCUAAAUAGCAUGUUAGCAUUGAUUAGCUUGCAGUCAUGCACUGACCAAAUAUGCCUGAUUAGCACGCCAACAAGUCAACAAAGCGCACUUUUGUGCAUUCAAGCACAGCAUAAAACGUUUGGUGGACAAAAUGAGACAAAGAAGGAGUGGAAGAUUUGACAUGUAAACAAACUGUUGCGUCACAGUCCACACUAUGAUGAGUUCAAGAACCGACGAAAUUAGUAGGACAAAAUGAUGUUCACCACAUACUGUCAUCAGUGAAGCAUACACACAAACAUAUUAAACAGUGGGCUUUCUAACAAUUGGGAA